GCUGUUCAACUAGCCCUACGCCGUCGUCGUUGUUGUCUCAGCUGUCAUCGCGACUUGCAGACCACGAAACCCAUCUUCACCACCGUUCCUCCCUCCUAUCACAAUACUCCCUUCCUAUUUCUGGUUCGGUUCAUCUCUUUCGACAACACCAGGCCACUGACGUCUUUCACAGAGCAGUGCCAUGCCCGUUUCGCUCUUCCCUGUUCCACUCGCGCAUCCCCCUUGUUUCUCGCAUACUCGAAAUAACAAUUGGCCUCAAGGAGGUUCAGGC
rnacentral:misc_RNA from 1 species